AGAGAGAGAGAGAGAGAGAGCCAACAAAUUGUUGGAACCAAAAAACUUUGAAAGGCAUAAUUAUUUGAAAGUGAGGUUUGAAGGAGAUGACAAUUUUUGUACUUGAAAUAUGUAAUGCAGAUGGGAUUAAAAAAUUUAGGGCUAAAUUACACCCAUGAUACUUUAAGGUGUAAAACAUAAAAGUACUUCAACUUUAAUUUGAAACAGAAAGGUACCCCAAUUUCAAGUAAAGUAACCUGAAAGUAACUAUGACUUCUAAAAGCCGGUUCUCAGGUUAAAUGCUUACGUGGCUUUUCCUGUAGGUAGGUAGAUUGUUCAACCUGUCUAAUGUCAAAUGUGCUUUUCCUUUUAAUUGAAGAAGGUCUCUACUGAACAUGGAGUAAUUCUUAUUAUACUUUGAUUGUGUUAACUUGUUUGCUUCCAUGGUUUGUCUAAAUUCCACAAGCCAUGACAAUCAUCAGAUGUGUUCCUCACUUCAAUGUGUCAUUUUAAUCUCCUCCUUUACAGUAAUCAGUGUUUGAAUGUGCUGCUUUACUAGCUUAAGUGUCAAGUGGAAGGAAAAUGACUCUAUUGUGGCCAUGAUAUUUAUCUCAUGAAGGUUAGAACCUACUUUAGAAGCAUAGUUGGGGUCAGAAUGGCCAGAUUUUUU
rnacentral:misc_RNA from 1 species